rnacentral:rRNA from 1 species
CUACGGGGGGCAGCAGUCGAGAGGCCUCGUCAAUGGGGGCAACCCUGAACGAGCGACGCCGCGUGAGCGAUGAAGGUCGUAAGAUCGUAAAGCUCUGUUAGUGGGGAAGAAACCCCGGGGUGCUAAUACCACCACGGCUUGACGUUACCCACAAAGAAAGCUCCGGCUAACUCCGUGCCAGCAGCCGCGGUAACACGGGGGGAGCAAACGUUGUUCGGAAUCACUGGGCGUAAAGGGCGCGUAGGCGGCCUGGUCAGUGAAACGUGAAAGCCCCUGGCUCAACCAGGGACUGUCGUCUCAUACUGCCAGGCUUGAGGACGGGAGAGGAGAGGGGAAUUCCCGGUGUAGCGGUGAAAUGCACUGAUAUCGGGAGGAACACCAGUGGCGAAGGCGCCUCUCUGGCCCGUUCCUGACGCUCAGGCGCGAAAGCAGGGGGAGCAAACAGGAUUAGAUACCCGCGUAGUC